UACGGAGGGUGCAAGCGUUAUCCGGAUUUAUUGGGUUUAAAGGGUCCGUAGGCGGGCUAAUAAGUCAGUGGUGAAAUCCUGCAGCUUAACUGUAGCACUGCCAUUGAUACUGUUAGUCUUGAGUAUAUUUGAAGUAGCUGGAAUAAGUAGUGUAGCGGUGAAAUGCAUAGAUAUUACUUAGAACACCAAUUGCGAAGGCAGGUUGCUAAGAUAAGACUGACGCUGAUGGACGAAAGCGUGGGGAGCGAACAGG
rnacentral:rRNA from 1 species